GGACCUGACUGCUAUCGGAUUGAUACUAAGCCAUGCGAGUCAUUGUAGCAAUACAAAGCAUACGGCUCAGUAACGCGUAGUCAACCUACCCUAUGGACGAGAAUAAUCUCGGGAAACUGAGGAUAAUACUCGAUAGAUCAUAAUGCCUGGAAUGGUUUAUGGUUGAAAUGAUUCGUCGCCAUAGGAUGGGACUGCGACCUAUCAGCUUGUUGGUGAGGUAAUGGCCCACCAAGGCGAUUACAGGUACGGGCUCUGAGAGGAGAAGCCCGGAGAUGGGUACUGAGACAAGGACCCAGGCCCUAUGGGGCGCAGCAGGCGAGAAAACUUUGCAAUGUGCGAAAGCACGACGAAGGUUAAUCCGAGUGAUUUCUGCUAAAGAAAUCUUUUGCGAAGUCGUAAAAUCACUAGUGAAUAAGGGGUGGGCGAGUUCUGGUGU
rnacentral:rRNA from 1 species